CAGGAACAAACUCAGAGAACAUGGACCUGGGAUCAUGAGGGACCUGAUUUUCUAACCCUAAUUUCAGGGCUGAAUUAAAUCAUGUGACUUGCUAAUAGUUUCUUCUGCCAGGCCACUGAGUUCACU